AUUUUGCAGAAGGAUUCAAACAUAUAAUAAAUAUGAAUGGUUCAUUGUCAAACCCACAUUUGUAUGCUGCUUGCUGUCUGAAAAUCAUACAGGCAAAAUUCAAAUGAAGUGGGCACCAGCAUAAUAAAGGAGGAUACAGCAUACCUAAGGUGAUGUGGAACCUAUCAUACACAAAACAUAUAUUCAAGUCCAAAGGAAAUAAAGAGAAAAUUGGAGAGCUUCUAAACAGCCAAUCUAUACUUGAAAAUUUCUAAAUUUGACUCUGGAGGAGUGCAUGCCAGCAAAGGUAGUCGUUCACUGAAAUCCACAACACUUGGGGAAGGCAUUAUUUCCACUGGAAU